rnacentral:rRNA from 1 species
UACGGGGUGCACCAGGGGCAAAACUUCCGCAAUGCGGGAACCCGUGACGGAGUCACCCCGAGUGCCACCCGAAGAGGGUGGCUUUUGCCCGGUCUAAAAAGCCGGGCGAAUAAGCGGGGGGCAAGCUUGGUGUCAGCCGCCGCGGUAAUACCAACCCCGCGAGUGGUCGGGACGUUUAUUGGGCCUAAAGCGUCCGUAGCCGGCCCGGUAAGUCCCUCCUUAAAGCCCACGGCUCAACCGUGGGAGCGGAGGGAUACUGCCGGGCUAGGGGGCGGGAGAGGCCGGGGGUACUCCUGGGGUAGGGGCGAAAUCCUAUAAUCCCAGGAGGACCACCAGUGGCGAAGGCGCCCGGCUAGCACGC